CAAUAGCGUAUAUUAAAGUUGUUGCAGUUAAAAAGCUCGUAGUUGGACUUCUGCGGGUGGCGGCCGGUCGUGCUCGAAACGGGCGUGAACUUGGCGUGCUGCCCGCAUCUUUGGGGAGAUUGUGCGUGGCAUUAAGUUGUCGUGCAUGGGAUUCUCAUCAUUUACUGUGAAAAAAUUAGAGUGUUUAAAGCAGGCCUUUGCCUUGAAUACAUUAGCAUGGAAUAAUAAGAUAGGACCGUUGUCCAUUUUGUUGGUUUACAGAUGUCGGUAAUGAUUAAUAGGGAUAGUUGGGGGUAUUCGUAUUCAGUUGUCAGAGGUGAAAUUCUUGGAUUUUCGGAAGACGCACGACUGCGAAAGCAUUUACCAAGGAUGUUUNCAUUA
rnacentral:rRNA from 1 species